GGGGCCGUAGUCUAGCCAGGCAGGACGGCGGGCUCCAGACCCGUUAACCUGGGUUCAAAUCCCAGCGGCCCCA
rnacentral:tRNA from 1 species